rnacentral:rRNA from 1 species
AAUCGAACCCGGAGAUAGCUGGUUCUCCUCGAAAUAGCUUUAGGGCUAGCCUCGAUACAGAUUUGCGGAGGUAGAGCACUGAAUUUCCUAGGGGGCGUCAAAGCCUACCGAAGAAUAUCAAACUCCGAAUGCCGCGUAAUCGAUUAUCGGGAGUCAGACUGCACGAGAUAAGUUGGGCGGUCAAAAGGGAAAGAGCCCAGACCUUCAGUUAAGGUCCCAAAGUGCGCGUUAAGUGGAAAAGGAUGUGGGAUUUCGAAGACAACCAGGAUGUUGGCUCAGAAGCAGCCAUCCAUUCAAAGAGUGCGUAAUAGCUCACUGGUCGAGAGGUCCUGCGCCGAAAAUGUCCGGGGCUGAAACGCGCCACCGAAACUAAGGAACCGAAAGGUUGGUAGAGGAGCAUUGCAUGCGGAACGAAGCAGUACCGUAAGGAGCUGUGGACUGCAUGGAAGAGAGAAUGCCGGAAUGAGUAGCGAGAUAGAGGUGGGAAUCCUCUAGGCCGAAUAUCCAAGGUUUCCAGAGUAAAGCUGAUCUGCUCUGGGUAAGUCGGGGCCUAAGGCGAGGACGAGAGUCGUAGCCGAUGGACAACAGGUGGAGAUUCCUGUACUGCGGUAUGACAGAACUGUGGGGACACGUAAGGAAAGCGGAAGCCGGGAAUGGAGAGCCCGGUGCAAGCGGGGUACCAGUCACUUUGGCAAAUCCGGGUGGCAAUGGGAAGCCGUGAUGCGGAGCGAAAUAAAGUAGCGAAGUCCGUGAGCCAUGCGUCAAGAAAAGCCGCUAUUGUUUAUACCGUACCCGUACCGUAAACCGACACAGGUGGAUGAGGAGAGAAUCCUAAGGCCGGCGGAAGAAGCAUUGUCAAGGAACUCGGCAAAAUGGCCCCGUAACUUAGGGAUAAGGGGUGCCUCAGAAAUGAGGCCGCAGAGAAUAGGCUCAAGCAACUGUUUAGCAAAAACACAGGUCUAUGCGAAACCGAAAGGUGAGGUAUAUGGGCUGACGCCUGCCCGGUGCUGGAAGGUUAAGAGGAGAGGUUAGCGCAAGCGAAGCUUUGAAUUUAAGCCCCAGUAAACGGCGGCCGUAACUAUAACGGUCCUAAGGUAGCGAAAUUCCUUGUCGGGUAAGUUCCGACCCGCACGAAAGGCGUAAUGAUUUGAGCGCUGUCUCGACAAUGCAUCCGGUGAAAUUGAAGUACCAGUGAAGAUGCUGGUUACCCGCGCCAGGACGGAAAGACCCCAUGGAGCUUUACUCCAGUUUGGUACUGGGAUUCGGUACUGCAUGUACAGGAUAGGUGGGAGACUGAGAAAUUGGAACGCCAGUUUCAAUGGAGUCACUGUUGGGAUACCACCCCUGCAGUAUUGGGUUUCUAACCAGCCGCUGUGAUCCAGCGGUGGGACAAUGCCAGGCGGGGAGUUUGACUGGGGCGGUCGCCUCCGAAAGGGUAUCGGAGGCGCCCAAAGGUUCCCUCAGAAUGGACGGAAACCAUUCGAAGAGUGCAAAGGCAGAAGGGAGCUUGACUGCGACACCGACGGGUGGAGCAGGUACGAAAGUAGGGCUUAGUGAUCCGGUGGUAUUAAGUGGGAAUGCCAUCGCUCAACGGAUAAAAGCUACCCUGGGGAUAACAGGCUUAUCACUCCCAAGAGUUCACAUCGACGGAGUGGUUUGGCACCUCGAUGUCGGCUCAUCGCAUCCUGGGGCUGUAGUAGGUCCCAAGGGUUGGGCUGUUCGCCCAUUAAAGCGGUACGCGAGCUGGGUUCAGAACGUCGUGAGACAGUUCGGUCCCUAUCCGGCGUGGGCGUAGGAUAUCUGAGAGGAGCUGUCCUUAGUACGAGAGGACCGGGAUGGACGGGCCGCUGGUGCAUCGGUUAGACUGCCAAGUCUACGGCCGAGUAGCCAAGCCCGGAAGGGAUAAACGCUGAAGGCAUCUAAGCGUGAAGCCCCCCUUAAGAUGAGAUAUCCCAUUCGAAAGAAGUAAACCCCCUUGA